CUCUUUGGUCAUGGUUACCAAUUUAAAACUUGAAAGACAAUUUUUAGGUUUUAGAGAAAGGAGAAUGAGGAGCGAGAGGAGGAAAGGGAUGAAAAGGGAAGGAAAGUGGGAAUGGGGAGGAGAACUUGAGAGACAUUUAAAACUAUUCAAAGAAACCUGUUUCAUGAGUGUAGAAAUGAGUGGCAUGGGAGAGACAAUUAAAAUUAACUUCAAGCAUCUAAGCUCUUGCAAAGACUUUCAUCCGAAGACAGAAGAGUUAAGCUUGGAGUAUCACAGAACAAGGCCAGCGGAUCAUCAGGUGAAGAAAGUCUGCAAGAGAAAGAAAUCAUGAUUUGCAGCAAACUUCAAUUGUAGAAGAAUUACCAAAACACGAGCAGAUUGAUGAAGUCCGGCAUGAGUGAGCAAGUUUGGUGACCAUUAUGUAGAGCGAUAAUGUUAUGGAACAAGAUAAACACAAUUUUUUUUUUUUUGGUGAAAAUUCUUGUAGUGUAUAUGCAUUGAAUUCUAAUUGUAAAUUGAUAUUGUGGUAUAAAUUAUUAGUGUGAAUUUCCAUUAA